rnacentral:rRNA from 1 species
CUUUGGAUGAAAGUUUGGUGACUGAGUGGCGGACGGGUGAGUAACGCGUGGGUAACCUGCCCUGUACAGGGGGAUAACAGCUGGAAACGGCUGCUAAUACCGCAUAAGCGCACGAGGGGACAUCUCCUUGUGUGAAAAACUCCGGUGGUACAGGAUGGGCCCGCGUCUGAUUAGCUGGUUGGCAGGGUAACGGCCUACCAAGGCAACGAUCAGUAGCCGGUCUGAGAGGAUGAAUGGCCACAUUGGAACUGAGACACGGUCCAAACUCCUACGGGAGGCAGCAGUGGGGAAUAUUGCACAAUGGGGGAAACCCUGAUGCAGCAACGCCGCGUGAGUGAAGAAGUAUUUCGGUAUGUAAAGCUCUAUCAGCAGGGAAGAUAAUGACGGUACCUGACUAAGAAGCUCCGGCUAAAUACGUGCCAGCAGCCGCGGUAAUACGUAUGGGGCAAGCGUUAUCCGGAUUUACUGGGUGUAAAGGGUGCGUAGGUGGCAGUGCAAGUCAGAUGUGAAAGGCCGGGGCUCAACCCCGGAGCUGCAUUUGAAACUGCUCGGCUAGAGUACAGGAGAGGCAGGCGGAAUUCCUAGUGUAGCGGUGAAAUGCGUAGAUAUUAGGAGGAACACCAGUGGCGA